rnacentral:rRNA from 1 species
UAGUAGCACUCCAUGACUAGAUGAGUGACACACGUGUGAAUCACGUGUGUGACCUUCCCUUGUGUUACGGAUAUACCUUGGGGAACCGGAAGUUAAUCCCAUAUAUGCCUUCCGGGAGAAAGAUCUAUCCGCCAUAAGAUGGGCUCGCGUUGGAUUAGCUAGUUGGUAGGGUAAUGGCCUACCAAGGCGAUGAUCCAUAGCUGGUCUGAGAGGAUGAUCAGCCACACUGGGACUGAGACACGGUCCAGACUCCUACGGGAGGCAGCAGUGGGGAAUAUUGGACAAUGGGGGCAAGCCUGAUCCAGCCAUGCCGCGUGAAUGAAGAAGUCCUUAGGGAUUGUAAAGUUCUUUUGACGGGGACGAUAAUGACGGUACCGGCAGAAUAAGCCCCGGCUAACUUCGUG